CUACGGGAUGCAGCAGUGAGGAAUUUUGCGCAAUGGGGGAAACCCUGACGCAGCAACGCCGCGUGAGCGAAGAAGGCCUUCGGGUCGUAAAGCUCUGUCAAGUGGGAAAAAACGCUUUAGAUUAAUAGUCUAAAGAAUUGAUGGUACCACUGGAGGAAGCACCGGCUAACUCCGUGCCAGCAGCCGCGGUAAUACGGAGGGUGCAAGCGUUGUUCGGAAUUACUGGGCGUAAAGCGCGUGCAGGCGGUUUGGCAAGUCAGAUGUGAAAGCCCCGGGCUCAACCCGGGAAGUGCAUUUGAAACUGCCUUUCUUGAGUAUGGGAGAGGAGAGUGGAAUUCCCAGUGUAGAGGUGAAAUUCGUAGAUAUUGGGAGGAACACCCGUGGCGAAGGCGACUCUCUGGACCAAUACUGACGCUGAGACGCGAAAGCGUGGGGAGCAAACAGGAUUAGAUACCCCCGUAGUC
rnacentral:rRNA from 1 species